CAUUGAGUAUCUUCAGGAAAAAUGGGUUCCAUAAGAAGUGGCUUCCUCCUUGAAAGGUAAA
rfam:Choloepus hoffmanni cont1.649745, whole genome shotgun sequence.